UCUUAUCUCAAUAAGUGUUGUGAAUAUGGCACAAGCAACAUAGGAAGCCAACCUAAAUGCUUUACGAUGUGUGGUGAAUAUAUCUAUUCUCAGUUUACAAUAGAUUUAACUUUGCUUUUCAUCUUCUUAGGAGAAUAACAAUCAAUUCCACCGCAGCAAUAUCUCCAUCAAGAUAUAAUCCAAGUUCUCCACAUUAGAGUGACCAUGAUGUCCAGUUUAAUUCUUACCAAUUUCAACAAUAAGUGCAUAAAAUAGCCAAUGAAGCUGAAAUUGCCAUUGACAAUGAAAAGAAUCACAAAGAGUCAAAAAAAUAAAACUGAAUGGAAAUGAUUUUUUUUUCUUAACUGUUUACAUAUUUAAUAAAUGGUUGAAUGCGCAACACUAAAUUUUCUGUAACAAUCAUGAAAGAGAUCAUUAAUAAUGAAUAUCUGACUCAGAGGAAUUACUUUCUACGAGAUAUUCACUGGAUAACUCAUGAUAUUGAUUUUACAAUUGAGUUUCUUGCAGUCAUUGGAUUAAUUCACAAUUCAGUGAAGUGUUGUAAUCAGUAAUGGAUUUCUACAUUCAUGAUAAAUGCUCAGUUGGAAAAGCUUGGCAAUGUAUAACAAGCAAAUGUUAUUAAAACAUUGGGUAAAAUUCUGUCUUCUCUGUGUCUCCUAGCUGACUGCCUUGCCUUAUUGAAUUGAUUUACUGGUGAAAGGCAAUUAACUACAAACAGUGAUGAGGAUUUAACAUUACUAUCUACAGUAAUGAUUUUUUUUAAGAGGGGGUGGGUAAAAAUCAUUUUGUUUUAGUUUUUGGAUUUUACCAAAAAAAGAAAAAAAAUCCCCCCUAAAUUGUUCACAAUUUGUCUCCUGGAUGACCUUAGGUCACUAGAUAUAGAUGGUUACAUUAUUCGGAAAAAUGGAAGGAUGUGACAAGGAAGUUGGGUAUUUAUGACUCUACUUAAUCUCAUCCAUGAUAGAAAAGUAUGGUGUAGCCAUUGGACUUCAUGGCCAAGAGUAAACUUAUAAAAUUUGUAAAUUGUAAAUACAACAUUCAUCAUCAUAUUUUUAAAACCACUGUAAAAAGAACUCAUAAACAUACUAUUUGUUUGUAAUGUCCUAAGUUGUUCCAUCUAUGUAUGAUGUAUAAUUAUUGUAAUAAAGAGUCCUCUCUUAGCUACAUCUAUUGGCUGCAGCUUGUUUGUGAGUUCUAUCUGUUAUUAUCUAAUGUUUUGUUGUUAUUGCACUGUUUGUUGUACCUGUUGAAAUUUGAACUGCUGUUAAUCUGUGAACUGUCAUUUUCACCCUGCAGGGCAGAAAAUUGUGAAAUUUUUAUUGGAAAACUCUACUAGUGGACUUUUUGUGACUUGAAC